UGGGAAUUUUGGACAAUGGGCGAAAGCCUGAUCCAGCAAUGCCGCGUGUGUGAAGAAGGCCUUCGGGUUGUAAAGCACUUUUGUCCGGAAAGAAAUCCUUGGCUCUAAUACAGUCGGGGGAUGACGGUACCGGAAGAAUAAGCACCGGCUAACUACGUGCCAGCAGCCGCGGUAAUACGUAGGGUGCAAGCGUUAAUCGGAAUUACUGGGCGUAAAGCGUGCGCAGGCGGUUUGCUAAGACCGAUGUGAAAUCCCCGGGCUCAACCUGGGAACUGCAUUGGUGACUGGCAGGCUAGAGUAUGGCAGAGGGGGGUAGAAUUCCACGUGUAGCAGUGAAAUGCGUAGAGAUGUGGAGGAAUACCGAUGGCGAAGGCAGCCCCCUGGGCCAAUACUGACGCUCAUGCACGAAAGCGUGGGGAGCAAACAGGAUUAGAUACCCUGGUAGUCCACGCCCUAAACGAUGUCAACUAGUUGUUGGGGAUUCAUUUCCUUAGUAACGUAGCUAACGCGUGAGGUUGACCGCCUGGGGAGUACGGUCGCAAGAUUAAAACUC
rnacentral:rRNA from 1 species